UACGUAGGGUGCAAGCGUUGUCCGGAAUUAUUGGGCGUAAAGAGCUCGUAGGCGGUCUGUCGCGUCUGCUGUGAAAUCCCGAGGCUCAACCUCGGGUCUGCAGUGGGUACGGGCAGACUAGAGUGCGGUAGGGGAGAUUGGAACUCCUGGUGUAGCGGUGGAAUGCGCAGAUAUCAGGAAGAACACCGAUGGCGAAGGCAGAUCUCUGGGCCGUAACUGACGCUGAGGAGCGAAAGCAUGGGGAGCGAACAGG
rnacentral:rRNA from 1 species